rnacentral:lncRNA from 1 species
CAUUUUAUCACAUCGGAUGUUUUUGAAUUUAAAUUACGCAGUUGAAGACAGAGGUCUAAACUCUUUAUUACAUCAAUCCUUGAAACCCUCAUACCAUGAAAAUAUUAUAUGCUUUCCAGAUGCUAUGAAAUAGUUAUGAGUUCAUCAGGAACUUACUACUUUUUUUUUAAAUGUGUUGUUAUUUGGUGAAAUUUUUCCUUUAAAAUUGUAACAGUUAAAUAUUUCUCAGAAUGCCUGUGUUCUUUUUCUCAAAAAAGAGUUUUUUCCACUAAUUUUGCAGUUAAGUGGUACAUGUAGUAAAACUUCUAUGGCAUUUAGAUGUUUAAUUUAUGAAAUCAAAAACAAUUUUUUUCUUGUAUCUUUUUGGAAAAUGACCGAUGGGUAUCACCUACAUUUCUCCAUCUGCAGAUAGAAAUCCAAUCGACUCGCUAUAAGAAGGCAGCUUAGAAUUGCCGAUUGAUUUAUGAUCGAAGUAAAAACUGCCAAGAAACAAAAUUAUAUUUCUUUCCGGGAAAAGCUACUUUUUAAGAAAAUAAAGAAGAAUGGAAGUCAAUCACGGGUAUUGCAGUGAGAGUUCCAAAUUUGUAUGAGCAAGAGAAAAAGGAUUCAGAUAUUUUCCAUGGGAAAAAAAAUCUUUACACGACAUUUUAGAAUCCAUAAUUAUUACAAAGAUAUUAAAUUUAUUUAUGCAAAUCUCAAACUAUUUGAUUACAAUUUAAGAAACGUUGAAAUAAACAUUUGACUUUAGAAUUAUUGAAGUCAAUUAUAUUUAAAUUCAGUGAUUAAGUAAUAAUCAUAAGUGAUAAGAUAAGUGAUAAGAUAAUAAGAUAAGUGAAUGAAGCGGAAUGAAAUUAAGCAAAAUGAUUUCGAAGGAAAUGAAUAGGUUCAAUUGAAUUUUAAGGGUUGUAUGACCCUUGAAAAUCAAAUCUAGAUGACUACUGAUGUGGCAGACCCUAGUUGUACAUUUAUUAAAAUGAGGAACUAUGUCUCCAGAUUAAAGAGCUUUUAAUUGAACCUGCAAUCUUUUGUAUACUGCCAUUUUGUUUUUACAAAUUUUUUAUUGUUACUUUGCAAGUCCAUUUAAUAAAUUAAAAAAGAGAA